rnacentral:lncRNA from 12 species
GUGUACUUAUAUAUAUAUUUCGGACAAAUGCAUGAUAUUUUUUUUCAUUACUAGCAGCUGCAGUUUUCAGGAGAUCCUGCUCUGUCUGGCUCUAAUUGUGGAGACAAAAAACCCACAUGACUUUUACUCAAUGGACCUCAAUCUAGAGAAGCACUAUGACAUUUGCAAAUUAUUUCUUAAUCGGACUAAGCUACCGAGGAGUGCAGGGAGAGGAGGUAGUGUUCUGGAAAUGGAGGAACAGCUCGGAUGUUAGCUGGCAUAGUCUUCCCAGCAGUUUGCUUUCCCCCAAAAGGCGCACUGGUGUAACUGUCAAACGCAAAAUAAAGCAGGGGUCGGGUUUCUCGAACUGGCCCAUGAUCCUGGAGCAGGUCCUGGAGCCAGCUAAGCAGACUCUCCAUGGGCUUGAUGUAUCCAUACCCUUGUUUGACUUCAUUUACAGAAAAAGCUGAAAGUUGCCGCUAGGAGCACUGGCUCACAGAAACAAUGAGGUCCUUGAACUCUCAGACCUAACAAAACCAUCAUUUACAAUAAGCAAGGACAAUUUGCAGUGGUUAAAGGCAUACAGCCCUUUGGAUUAAAUUGUUAUUCAGUUGUGCACACUAGCACAUGCAUGUGUGGGUGUGCAUGUCCGCAGACACACCUGAAAGCCAACGUGGCUGAAGACUAUUACAACAGUGCACAGCUUUGCAAGACUCCAGUGUUGUUGUAAUAAAUUUUGAAGUCAAUACUUAUUAGCA